rnacentral:rRNA from 1 species
GUGUCAGCAGCCGCGGUAACACGGGGGGAGCAAGCGUUGUUCGGAAUCACUGGGCGUAAAGGGCGUGUAGGCGGUCCGGUAAGUGAGAUGUGAAAUCCCUCGGCUCACCCGAGGACCUGCAUCUCAAACUGCCUGACUCGAGUACGGGAGAGGAUGUGGGAAUUCCUGGUGUAGCGGUGAAAUGCGUAGAUAUCAGGAGGAACACCGGUGGCGAAAGCGCACAUCUGGCCCGAUACUGACGCUGAGGCGCGAAAGCUAGGGGAGCAAACGGGAUUAGAAACCCCUGUAGUCC